rnacentral:lncRNA from 1 species
CUGACCAUUUGCUUGUCUAUCAAGCACAGAAUACUCAGCAGCAAGGGGCAGAUAAUUGCUAAUGGACAAUGGAGAUUUGACCACAAGAGUCCAAUCAUGGAUAGGGUCAGAUCGAAUGUCUUUUGCAAUCUCUGUAGCUUUGAUGCUCAUCGAAAACCAAAAACCAGUGGAACUACAUGAAGAGGUACCAGUUGUCUGCGGGCAGUACAUAAGUUCCUCGGACUCCGCAAGAGAUGAUACACAAAUUUGGGACGAAGCACUAGGCCCGGAAGAAGCAUCUACUUGAGUAUUUGUAUCCAUCACUGAACUCCAAGAAUAUUCAUUGGAAUCUGAUGGUCUCAAUUGUAAGAUGUACA